ACGCUGGCGGCAGGCCUAACACAUGCAAGUCGAGCGGUAGAGAGAAGCUUGCUUCUCUUGAGAGCGGCGGACGGGUGAGUAAUGCCUAGGAAUCUGCCUGGUAGUGGGGGAUAACGUUCGGAAACGGACGCUAAUACCGCAUACGUCCUACGGGAGAAAGCAGGGGACCUUCGGGCCUUGCGCUAUCAGAUGAGCCUAGGUCGGAUUAGCUAGUUGGUGGGGUAAUGGCUCACCAAGGCGACGAUCCGUAACUGGUCUGAGAGGAUGAUCAGUCACACUGGAACUGAGACACGGUCCAGACUCCUACGGGAGGCAGCAGUGGGGAAUAUUGGACAAUGGGCGAAAGCCUGAUCCAGCCAUGCCGCGUGUGUGAAGAAGGUCUUCGGAUUGUAAAGCACUUUAAGUUGGGAGGAAGGGCAGUUGCCUAAUACGUAACUGUUUUGACGUUACCGACAGAAUAAGCACCGGCUAACUCUGUGCCAGCAGCCGCGGUAAUACAGAGGGUGCAAGCGUUAAUCGGAAUUACUGGGCGUAAGCGCGCGUAGGUGGGUUUGUUAAGUUGGAUGUGAAAUCCCCGGGCUCAACCUGGGAACUGCAUUCAAAACUGACUGACUAGAGUAUGGUAGAGGGUGGUGGAAUUUCCUGUGUAGCGGUGAAAUGCGUAGAUAUAGGAAGGAACACCAGUGGCGAAGGCGACCACCUGGACUGAUACUGACACUGAGGUGCGAAAGCGUGGGGAGCAAAC
rnacentral:rRNA from 1 species